rnacentral:rRNA from 1 species
GAUGAACGCUGGCGGCGUGCCUAAUACAUGCAAGUCGAGCGAACAGACGAGGAGCUUGCUCCUCUGACGUUAGCGGCGGACGGGUGAGUAACACGUGGAUAACCUACCUAUAAGACUGGGAUAAUUUCGGGAAACCGGAGCUAAUACCGGAUAAUAUAUUGAACCGCAUGGUUCAAUAGUGAAAGACGGUUUUGCUGUCACUUAUAGAUGGAUCCGCGCCGCAUUAGCUAGUUGGUAAGGUAACGGCUUACCAAGGCGACGAUGCGUAGCCGACCUGAGAGGGUGAUCGGCCACACUGGAACUGAGACACGGUCCAGACUCCUACGGGAGGCAGCAGUAGGGAAUCUUCCGCAAUGGGCGAAAGCCUGACGGAGCAACGCCGCGUGAGUGAUGAAGGUCUUCGGAUCGUAAAACUCUGUAAUUAGGGAAGAACAAAUGUGUAAGUAACUAUGCACGUCUUGACGGUACCUAAUCAGAAAGCCACGGCUAACUACGUG